rnacentral:rRNA from 1 species
AGUGAACGCUGGCGGUAGGCCUAACACAUGCAAGUCGAACGGCAGCACAGUAAGAGCUUGCUCUUACGGGUGGCGAGUGGCGGACGGGUGAGAAAUACAUCGGAAUCUACUUUUUCGUGGGGGAUAACGUAGGGAAACCUACGCUAAUACCGCAUACGACCUACGGGUGAAAGCAGGGGAUCUUCGGACCUUGCGCGAUUGAAUGAGCCGAUGUCGGAUUAGCUAGUUGGCGGGGUAAAGGCCCACCAAGGCGACGAUCCGUAGCUGGUCUGAGAGGAUGAUCAGCCACACUGGAACUGAGACACGGUCCAGACUCCUACGGGAGGCAGCAGUGGGGAAUAUUGGACAAUGGGCGCAAGCCUGAUCCAGCCAUACCGCGUUGGUGAAGAAGGCCUUCGGGUUGUAAAGCCCUUUUGUUGGGAAAGAAAAGCAGCAGGUUAAUACCCCGCUGUUCUGACGUUACCCAAAGAAUAAGCACCGGCUAACUUCGUG